GAAAUGCCUCCAUGAGACCCAGCUGUAAGGCAUUUUCUUAAUUAGUGAGCAAGGGGAAAGGGCCCCUUGUGGGUGGUGCCAUCCCUGAGCUGGUAGUCUUG
rnacentral:miRNA from 14 species